rnacentral:lncRNA from 1 species
GGACAUACAAAUUUGCUUGAGACAGUAGUUUCUGAGCGACGAAGUGUGAUUGGCGAAAAGGAACAGGAGGCUCUCAAUCAUCAGAUGACAUCCUGGUAAUAUGUCCAGUUGUGUACACUGUCUACUAGAAAAUAAUCUCUGCUUUGAUGCUUCCAUAGAGCUCCCUCCUUUAUAUGAAGGGACCUAGAAAAAUUCCCUUUGAUGCACCAUUCUUUUGGCAUGAAAUUCACAUAUAAUCCUUUCCCUUUUAUUCCCACCUGUCAACUCAAUGCUAGACGACAAAUUUCUUUGCCUUGUGCGGAAAACAUUCAACCUCUGAGACAUUUGCUUUAUGUUUGCUGCUGCAAAAUAAUCAACCUCAUUAAACUUCUCACUAGAAGCAUCAUCCAUUGAUGUUCAAAGCAUUCAUUCUCAGACUGUCACAAAGAGGAACCCUUUAAUCAGUCUUUCAGGGUUCUUUUUCCAUUUGCACAUGACUCUGCCUUUGGUCUGUCUUCACUUGACUCAAAAAUUUUGAGCAUUGCCAGUAUUGCCCAGGAUCUGCAACACUUUUUCCUAAAGUCUUUAAACCUGAUCUCAAGUGAUCUUCAGGCUCAGCCAGGAUCAUUUGGAUGAUUUUCUUCCCGAAUUGGAGUUUUAUUUUCUCCGAAUUCGUCAUCAUCUUCUUCUUCUUUGACCUCAAUUUCUUCUUAGACCUCUGUGAUGGUUUUUGCAUCCAACUUUAUAUAUUUGAUCCUAGUUAGCACUGUAUUUGCACGAAGAUUGCAAAUUAGUGUGAUCUUAUUUUUCCUCUCUUUACUUUUCGUUACUUUUUUAUCACGUUCUCAAAAAAUCACUUUUUUUCUCAAAAUCUAUUCUAAAAAAAUUUCUACCCAACCUUUCUCAAAAGUUGCAAUCUAUUUUUAGACAGAUCUUUCAUUGCAUUAGUAUCCCAAACCUCUAAUAUAAUAGCAGAAUCAGUAUAUACAAUUUUUGUACAAUUCAGGCAUAAAUCCAGUCACGUCAAUUGCACAUGCCUUUAAUAAAUAGCAAACUAGUGAUAUCAGUUAAACGGUUAAACCCAUUAAAGAAGAAGAAGAAGAAGCAGCAGCAGCUAAAAAAAUUAGUAUAAGGUAACCACUGAAAUUAUUAAGUGCGUCACAAUUUUUUCUUUUUUAUAUACUUAAAUAGUUGUAAGUAAAAUUACAUAUUCAGGGUUAUAAUAUAUAAUUACCCUAAAAUAAAUUAUUGUUCCACCACAAACAAAAAUCUAAUUUUUUCUUUCUUUUUUUCAACAUCUAAUUGCGCAUAACUUUUUCGACAACUUCUGCUUUCUUUAAGGCAGCAAGAUAAUUUUCCUUUUCUAUGAUAAAUGUAUUUAUACUCCAUGGUGUUAUUUCCAUGAUUUUAUUUAUUUUUGUUUCUUAAUCUAGUGGUUUCAUGAAUUGAGAAUUAAUUAGGAUAAAUUAAGGAUCCUCCUCUUUCCUGUGACGCCUUCGCUUCCGACGCAAAGGCACCACCGCCACCAUAAUGUCUUUGUGAAAGUAAUUUCUAAAGCUUCAUCAACUGACCCUACCCACCCAACCCAGGAAGAUUUUCCAUAGUGCAAAUGAGGUGUAAAGGCUAUUGCCGGUUCGAUUGGGAAAAUCUCAUUUUUAAUUAUACCAAACAGGGUUGAGUUCAAUCUUGCAAUGUCUUUUACAUUCCAUUCAUCACUUGUUGUCAAAGUGUCAUUUAGUUAUAAUGUGACAUGGGAGAAAUAUACUUACAGUGGGUAAGUUCAAUCAUAGUGAAAUUUUAUUUUAUUUUAAACCCAUGUUUGAUUUUCAUUAUUUUAAAACUCAUUUUCGAUCAUACAUUUUUACAAUAAAAUAUUUUACACGUAAAUUCAAUUUUUUUCUACUUUUUACCCUGACGUUUUCUAAAAAUUUACUAUUACAAAACUUAUUUUCCUCCGAAUAAUAAGCAUCAAAUAGGGGCUAAUUAUUGCUAAUUUUUUGUUUGCUAGAAGUACAAUGUUCGAGCAUGCACUAUAACACAGCUAGUGGGGUGAAGCCAAUGUGAAGGAUGUUACAUAAGUUGACCAAUUGAAUUCAGGACACUCGAUUGAAAUGACCCUUAGCUUCACCAUUCAAAUAGCCCUUAAGAAUUGUCUUGUCGCGCUCUUGCCAUAACACGCAAGGCUCUUUUGUAAUUAUAUGACAUUAUAUUUAAAAAAAUCUAUUGAUAAUGUCAUUUAAUUGUCAUACAAACCGAUGCUAUUGAAUAUUCAAUCUUCUCAUUUUGC